UAAACCUCCCCUGUAUCAGUUUAAAACCAUUCCCCUUCGUCCUAUCACUACCCACCCUUGUAAACAGCCGUGAUAUUCAUCUGUGCAGAUGUGCCUGCACAUGUCCUGCCAAAGGCAGAACUUAAGUUUGUCAAAAGUUUUCAAUUUUAGAGUCUCCAAGUGUAAACUGUUAUUGGAAAGCAAGAAAAAGACUUUCAGAAAUACUGAAUUUUCAUUGUGAUAAAAGACUUUGCAUAUGCUUGAAUCUUCUAACAAGCAAAAUUACAGUUUCUUUACGCCUAAUUAGAUGCAAUUCAAUACCCUUUGAUGCCAUUUUGUGCUAUAUGCCACUUAGCCAAUCUUUUCAUAUUUCCCCCUCUACAUUUGAAGGAAUUUUUAAAAAUUAUUGAUACUAAAAGGAAUCUCUCUGCUUAUGACCACCUGAAAUGCUUUUCCAAAAUAUCUUUCACACUAACAAGGAGGCAGAUGUUAGCUGAAGCAGAAAUAAUUUUCACCUUGUAACACAUUUAUGAGGUGCAUUCCACUGCUUUGUGCAGUCUCUUACCUGAACAAACGGCAGCAGUAGCAGCAUAGAUUACCAGUCCCCAGCAUCCCAUCUGAACUCCAGCAUUAUAGGCAUGUAACUCAGUUGAAUUAGAAGGGGCCUGCGACAAACACAAAUGCAAAGCCACUUUCUUUUACUGAGCACGCCCCAGCAAUGAGUAGCUGUAAGCAGGUUUGCUAAAGGUAACUGUCUUCUUACCUUUGGAUCACCCUGAAAGAUGACCUGGCCCAUGAAAUCUGUAUAGAACACAGCUUCAGCAAUGAUCGAAAACCAAGUUAAGAGGUGACAAACGCACAACCUCAGCAGCUCUUUCGGCAUCUUCAGCAUCGACAGCCACAGAAGUCUGACAGUUGUUUCAGUUUCCCCCUCCUCGCUCUCUGUGUCUCCACUCGAGUUUGUUGUGCCACUCUGAUUCCUGUGUCUGUACCUCUGCCGCUGCCGCUUCUGCAUGUCAUAGAUGUCAUUCAUGCUGCGUGAGGACUUUAUCAAGACGAUGGCAUUGGCCCGACGAAAGCGAUAGCGGUGAGAGCCUAUUUUGCCAUAGUAGGAGAAGGUGUAUGAUGGCUGACGGUAGAACAUGUGCCUCCGCCUCCGCAUGGAGUUUGAAGUACUGGAUUGCUUCAUGCCUAUUCUAGCGUGGCCAUUGAGGAACUCUUUUGGUAGGGAGCCAUUCAUAUUUGGGACUUUAUCUUCAUUUAAGCGAUUAUCAAGCAACAUUUCCUCCUCUUUCUCAUUGUCCCUGAGGAAAGCAGACAGGUGGUUGAGUUUGGACUUCAUGAUCUCUUGGCUGGUGUUGUGGGGAGUGUUUGGAUAUGAAGCAUCCUGAAAAAUGGAAGGUUCGAUGUCAUGCAGAAAAAGCAGCUCCGAUUCAAUUUCCAGCGUAGCAUCAGGCAUAUGCAGAACGGAGUCACUCUUACUUCUUACAAUGUUCACCUCGAGGAACUCCAUAUUGAGAUCAUGCUCUGACUGAACCUCAUCGUGGAACAUGGAGGCUCCGUAAGGCUCCUCCUCACUAAUUACAUUCAGUCGAUUCAGAGGGGGGAGACUACCACUGAAUUUGACACUAGAAAGUGUGUCUCCUUCCUCAUCAAUCCUGUCCUGCUGAGGGUUAUAUUGCUCUUCUUCAAUGCUAAAAAGGUGGAGAGCAACAGACACAGAGAAGAUAAUGGCUGCAAAGAAGAAAAGGACUUGCUCUUGAGAUUUAAAAAUACCACCCAAGAAAGUCUGUGUCCAGUCCAGUCCUCCUAACAUAUAACCGAUUGCUCCUCCAAGACCUGUGCAAGAGAGAAAGGAGUUUCGUCAAUAAGCAAUAACCUCAGAUCACCAAAAAGGCACACUCAAUCUGACAAACGAGCUGCUUACACCAGACAACCUUAACAAAAUCUAAAUGAAAGCUUCUUCAAUUUUGGUUUCAAAAGUUAAGAAAAUGGCAGAUUAGUUCACUUCUUCAGUGGUGCGUCUUCUUUGUGACAUGCUGAUACACUCUAACUCAGGACCACAUGGGAGGGAGUUUCAGGACUAAUUUCUGAUGUCCUGUGCCCUCAGGGUUUUCAUGCAUCCAUAAAUACACAGAAGAGAAAAUAAGACGCUUUUGUGCAGAGCUGUUUUUUGAGGCAGUACGGCUGCUACUGCACGGGAGGCAGGCAGUUGCUCCCAUAUUCUCAAAGGAUGUGAGGUACCUGAAGUGUACAUGUUCAGGAAAAAAUAAAUACAGCACUGUGUUUACAGAAGGUGUCUUCAGAUUGCUGUCUCUGAGACAUAGAAUCACCAAGGUUGGAAAAGGCCUCCAAGCUCAUCCAGUCCAACCAUCCACUACCACCAAUACUUCCCCACUGAAUCACAUCCUUAGUACAUCUAAACAUUCCUUGAACACCUCCAGGGACAGCGACUCCACCAGCUCCCUGGGCUGCCCAUUCCAGCACCUGACCACCCUUCCAGAGAAGAAAUUUUUCCUAACAGCCAACCUCAAUCUCCUGUGGCACAGCUUGAUUCUAUUCCAUCUCGUCCUAUUGCUAGUUAUGCCAUAGAAGAGGCUGACCUUCAUCUCACCACAACCUUCUUUCAGGGAUUUGUAGAGAUCAGUAUGGUCUCCUGAAUCUCCUCCAGACUGAACAAUCCCAUUCUAAACAAUCCCAACAAAUGAACAUAUAUUGCUAAUGAAAGGUGCAACAGUAACUCGGUUGUCUGUCAGUUACUGACUUAUUCUCAUUUCUACAUAUAUAAGGCUCAUUAACAAGUACAGUACCUGGGUUUAAACCUAUUUUCACUUUACAGAUAUAUUAAGAUACAUUCUCUUUCAGGUUACAUUGCUGUUACUCUCUCCUCUGACAAGAAGGAAUCAGGAUUAACAAGAGACACCACCUGAAUUUGCUUCCCACUACUCAGUUUUGACUGUUCAGCAUAAACUUCAGAGCAGGGACUAUCCCAUUUUCACAGAAUCGCAGGGGUUGGAAAGGACUUCAAGAGAUCACUGAAUCCAAGUCCCCUACUAAAGCAGGCAGUUACACUGUGAGCUUCAAGACUGCUAAGAAAGUGGCAGUGGUAAAUUAUGAAAAAUAAGCAGUGAGAAAUCAAUUCAGUCACAACUUGGUCAUCAGGACGAGACGGCAGCUGCCAGCCAGCAACAAAUCAGUCGACUACGUACCAGCUGAAAAGGCGUGGAUGUUAAGGGCCAUAUCUUGUUCUUCACUGUCCACCACGUCCAACAGGUACGCCCGAAUCGGCCCUUCUGUCGCAUCAGCGCAGAAGUCCAACACCACAACACCAAGCACCGUGAGGACGAUGCCGAUGGGCUGCCUGUCUGGGACAUCGCCAAUAGCCAGACCUGAGGAAAGACAGGCUGUUUUACAGACAAGCCACGAUGGAAGAGGAGAGCAUCCAAGAGCAAAACUUCAUCUAUCGAUUACAAACACAAGUAAGUGAACAGCUGACAGCAUUCCUGACGUGGCUCCUAGCACAUAAUGGUUGCAGUACAACGGGAUUAAAUGGAAUUUAAUCUCCUCACCUCUGUCUCUGCUUUUCUUAAGCAUUUGUAUUUUCUACAUCACUUUCACGUGCAAAACAUUUAAGGGCAAAGCAACAUGAAGGUAUUCAUAGGUCACUGCAAAAAGCAUCAGUCAGCUUCUGUGGAUAGCGUGGGAUGAAGUAUGUUUUGUCUGCUCAGAAAGGCAGCAGUACUACACUGCUGGAGAAUUUUUCAUGAAACUAAUCAUGGGCAAAAGCAUGAAUUACUUGAAUCAGAGGGAUUUAGCUGUUCCACGUACAGUAAUGAUUUUAUCAGUCUGGCAACUGAUGAAAAUGACAGUGGAAAAAGAUGAACUGGCUAAGCCAUCAAAAACCAGCUAAAUCUCAACUGCUGUGAUUCCUGCACACCUCAUCCUCAUUGCCUCAUGUUCUUGGAAUGCUACAGAAGCCUCUUUGUGUUCCACACUGGGUUGAAAGUUACAGCAGGAAACACCAGCAGUGUCAGUGCUUUCAAUUUGUUGCAAAUCUCAACAGGGCAGUAGAGAGAACGAGCACGGACUGUCUACACGUGGCUGUAUUCCUGGGAGGUGUACAGUAUUCACUGCCUUUUUUUCUCUGAAAAGUGAUACAGGCCACCAUUAC